rnacentral:misc_RNA from 1 species
GAUGAAGAACGCAGCGAAAUGCGAUACGUAAUGUGAAUUGCAAAUUCAGUGAAUCAUCGAGUCUUUGAACGCACGUUGCGCCCCCUGGUAUUCCGGGGGGCAUGCCUGUCCGAGCGUCAUUGCUGCCCUCAAGCACGGCUUGUGUGUUGGGCCCCGUCCUCCGAUCCCGGGGGACGGGCCCGAAAGGCAGCGGCGGCACCGCGUCCGGUCCUCGAGCGUAUGGGGCUUUGUCACCCGCUCUGUAGGCCCGGCCGGCGCUUGCCGAUCAACCCAAAUUUUUAUCCAGGUUGACCUCGGAUCAGGUAGGGAUACCCGCUGAACUUAAGCAUAUCAAUAAGCGGAGGA